rnacentral:ncRNA from 2 species
UAUGUACACUAGGGGUGUUCUUAAGAGGAACUGAGACGGGCUUUGACAGCACGAUCCCUUUGAACCUGUGAGUUUAGACUCGCGAAGGAAAGUGUCCAAUCAGUUUA